rnacentral:lncRNA from 1 species
GUUGAACAUUUUUGCUGCUUAUUACCUUGGACUGGAAAUCCGCCAACAUACAAUCAUGCACUUUCUUCAUAAAACACAUUUUUAAGCUAGCCAAGGACCAAUACCAAGAUAUGUUAUCUCUAUAUUCUUCUCCGCCUAAUUAACACGUCAUGUUGUAAAGACGAAGAUAAACUUACAGAAAUGAGGCAUGAGUAAAUUUGUUCUGCUCCAAGAAGACAUACAUUUUCCUUUUCACAGCAAAUUUCAAAUUUGCACUCUUAAAAAAAAAACUCUUUCCUGUCUAACUCCAAAUGAUUCUUGACUUAGAAGUGUUCUGCAAUAUUUCAAUCUUUCACAUAUCUACCAAAAAGUGUUUAUUGAGUCACCUGUGAAUUAUCAACGUUGAUUCCAAAGCCAGAACCUUUUAUCCAUUUUGACGUAUUCUGCAGAUUUUUGAGCCGGGGUCUAUCGGAAACAUGUAACAACAGCAAGAGAUGAAUUGGGUGACACAGUAGUUGUAUUUCUGCAACCAGUGAUUGGAGGAAAACCAGCCAAUAUAUGCAGUACCAAGGAAUCCAAAUGGCAUUGACAUGCCAAAAAGUUCAACGUAACUCCAAUUAUUUAUCAAAGAACACAGUAAUACAAAAACAGGAUUCUGACUAGGAUUUAGUGAAUUGGAGGAGGAAUAGAUGUAUUGAUCAAAGAGCACAUUGGUCAUUUUCCCUACGGCAUGCAUAUUUCUCAAACGAUAGUCAUGAGGCUGGCUGUGUCCUAGGUCAAAAUAUCCAAUAUUUAUUCAGUUUUGUCCUGCUAAACGAUACAUUUCCCCAUUUGGAAAACAAAAGCAAAAUUCAAGCAUGCAUGCACCAACUUCCUCAUUCCUUCAAAAUAUGUUUUGUCUUGCUACUGAACAGCGUAAGAACAAGUUGAUACACACUCAGAAAAAGGCCAGAACAAGAUUUUUAGAGUCUCUCUCUUCUUCAUGAGCUAUAAAAGGGCAGCUGAAUUAGAGUAGAGACCUCUUCAUGAUCAUUGAAAGUUUCUUAAUUAGUGAUUUUAGGGGUUG